rnacentral:rRNA from 1 species
GUGAGGAAUAUUGCGCAAUGGCCGAAAGGCUGACGCAGCGACGCCGCGUGAAGGAUGAAGUUCGUUAGAAUGUAAACUUCUUUUGUAGGGGAUGAAUGUUCCGUUUUACGGAAUUGACCGUACCCUGCGAAUAAGGAUCGGCUAACUACGUGCCAGCAGCCGCGGUAAUACGUAGGAUCCGAGCGUUGUCCGGAAUUACUGGGUGUAAAGGGCGUGUAGGUGGGUCUCUAAGUCGGUGGUGAAAUCUUGCAGCUUAACUGUAAAAUUGCCUUCGAUACUGGAGGUCUUGAGUACGGCAGAGGGAAAUAGAAUUCAUGGUGUAGCGGUGAAAUGUGUAGAUAUCAUGAAGAAUACCGGUAGCGAAGGCGGUUUCCUGGUCCGUAACUGACACUGAGGCGCGAAAGCGUGGGGAGCAAACAGGAUUAGAAACCCCGGUAGUCC